rnacentral:piRNA from 2 species
CUGCCACGCGGGAGGCCCGGGUU